rnacentral:rRNA from 1 species
GGUUUGUUAAGUCAGAUGUGAAAUCCCCGGGCUCAACCUGGGAACUGCAUCUGAUACUGGCAAGCUUGAGUCUCGUAGAGGGGGGUAGAAUUCCAGGUGUAGCGGUGAAAUGCGUAGAGAUCUGGAGGAAUACCGGUGGCGAAGGCGGCCCCCUGGACGAAGACUGACGCUCAGGUGCGAAAGCGUGGGGAGCAAACAGGAUUAGAUACCCUGGUAGUCCACGCCGUAAACGAUGUCGACUUGGAGGUUGUGCCCUUGAGGCGUGGCUUCCGGAGCUAACGCGUUAAGUCGACCGCCUGGGGAGUACGGCCGCAAGGUUAAAACUCAAAUGAAUUGACGGGGGCCCGCACAAGCGGUGGAGCAUGUGGUUUAAUUCGAUGCAACGCGAAGAACC